UCCCCGUUAUCCUGGGCAGUCCUUCCAGAGUUCCCGGCAUGACCCGUUGGCAACUGGAAGCAGGGGUUGCACUCGUUAUAGGACUUAACCUGACACCUCACGGCACGAGCUGACGACAACCAUGCAGCACCUUGUAAAUUGUCUUGCGAAAGAUCUGUUUCCAAACCGGUCAAUCUGCAUUUAAGCCUUGGUAAGGUUCCUCGCGUAUCAUCGAAUUAAACCACAUGCUCCACCGCUUGUGCGGGCCCCCGUCAAUUCCUUUGAGUUUCAGUCUUGCGACCGUACUCCCCAGGCGGCGAACUUAACGCGUUAGCUUCGAUACUGCGUGCCAAAUUGCACCCAACAUCCAGUUCGCAUCGUUUAGGGCGUGGACUAC
rnacentral:misc_RNA from 1 species